GACGAACGCUGGCGGCGUGCUUAACACAUGCAAGUCGAACGGAAAGGCCUCUUUCGGGGGGUACUCGAGUGGCGAACGGGUGAGUAACACGUGAGUAACCUGCCCCUGACUUUGGGAUAACUUCAGGAAACUGGGGCUAAUACCGGAUAGGAGCUCCUGCUGCACGGUGGGGGUUGGAAAGAUUGGGGGGGUGGGGAUGGACUCGCGGCUUAUCAGCUUGUUGGUGGGGUAGUGGCUUACCAAGGCUUUGACGGGUAGACGGCCUGGGAGGGGGAGCGGCCACAUUGGGACUGAGAUACGGCCCAGACUCCUACGGGGGGCAGCAGUGGGGAAUAUUGCACAAUGGGUGGGAGCCGGAUGCAGCAACGCCGUGUGCGGGAGGACGGCCUUCGGGUUGUAAACCGCUUUCGCUCAUGACGAAGCUUUGCGUGACGGUAGUGGGUAAAGAAGCACCGGCUAACUACGUG
rnacentral:rRNA from 1 species